ACUAAGUCCUUUGCCUGGCAUGCCUCAUUUAAUCCUCACAUUCCUGUUUCGGAGGCAUAUCCUCAUUCACGCGAGGCCCAAAGGCUUACUACACCUUGCCCUGGCUUCCGCGCCAGCCAGCAGGGAAAGGCUGACAAUAGAAGCCCAUCUAAGCCGCCUCCACUGCACCACCCAGCCUCCUGCCGCCGGCUCACAGCCCAGCUUCCCGGUGCUGGGAAUCCAGAAGGGUCUGACUCCACGACAGUCCACAGAGCCGUGCCAGAGCUGACCCCGGACUUGAGCCGCCUCCCUCUGCGCCCCUUCCCCCGGGUUUCCUAGAGGAGCCGAGGCGAGCGGCGCCCCAUCUCCCCCGGCGCGGAUGGCCCGCCACCCCUCGCGCGGGUCCCGGCCCCAUUACAGCGCGUGGGCGGCGAUCCAGCAGCAGGCGGCGCAGAUCCACAGGCCGAAGGAGAUGCAGACGCGGCGGCGGGCGAAGCAGCGGUCCAGCUUUCAAACCAACCCAGCGACACUCGGCAAUUCCAACUGUUGUUGAGAAGGGUUCAACAGAGCGACCUGUGUCCCGGAAAGAAUCACCGUAUCCGUAUUUGACCUUUAGAGAUGCAAGCAAAGACCAGAGAAGAGCCAGCGUGGUGACGCACACCUGUAGUCCCAGCACUUGAGCUCAUUACGGCGGGAGGAGCAUGCGGUUGGGGCCAGCCUGGGCUCCAGACUGAGAUCUUGUCUUCACAAAAAUAAAGAUGACUAUAAAGGAGGAAGCACGGCAAACAUAAGAGGCUGAAUGAGAUUAGUAAAAUAAAGAAGGCAAAGGCUAUA